GAUGAACGCUGGCGGCGUGCCUAAUACAUGCCAGUCGAGCGAACAGACCAGGAGCUUGCUCCUCUGACGUUAGCGGCGGACGGGUGAGUAACACGUGGAUAACCUACCUAUAAGACUGGGAUAACUUCGGGAAACCGGAGCUAAUACCGGAUAAUAUAUUGAACCGCAUGGUUCAAUAGUGAAAGACGGUUUUGCUGUCACUUAUAGAUGGAUCCGCGCCGCAUUAGCUAGUUGGUAAGGUAACGGCUUACCAAGGCAACGAUGCGUAGCCGUCCUGAGAGGGUGAUCGGCCACACUGGAACUGAGACACGGUCCAGACUCCUACGGGAGGCAGCAGUAGGGAAUCUUCCGCAAUGGGCGAAAGCCUGACGGAGCAACGCCGCGUGAGUGAUGAAGGUCUUCGGAUCGUAAAACUCUGUUAUUAGGGAAGAACAAAUGUGUAAGUAACUAUGCACGUCUUGACGGUACCUAAUCAGAAAGCCACGGCUAACUACGUG
rnacentral:rRNA from 1 species